CAUGACUCGAGUGACAUCCCACCUCACCUCACGUGCCGCGCGCAAGAAGUCCGGUAGCGAAGAAGAGAAGGAGAAGGAGAACUUUGCUAACAAACAUGCCGGAGGAACACAAACGAAAACGAAUUGACAACAUGAAUGUGUAGAUCAUCUAUUGGAGCACAGAUUUGAGACCCUUAGUCUGGAGUCAAAAUUAGAGGAUAGCCGGGAGCAGGCGGAGUCAACGUCUACAAAGAACGCCACGACUGAAAAUAAACGGGUGACGUCACGAACACUGGAAUCCAUUGUGCCGCCCAGUUGAUCACCGAGGACGAGGGCUUGGGUCGGCUGGCCCACACGGUGCAGGUCUUGGUGGACCUCGCGCCGACUGCUGCCAGCCACCGCCGCUAGCAGACCGGAGCCGCUAGGGGCGGACAGGCUGAGCACUGCUCCUCCUCCUCUCAGCUCCAUGUCCUCCACCACCACCGCCGCUAGCAGACCGGAGCCGCUAGGGGCGGACAGGCUGAGCACUGCUCCGUCCUCCUCUCAGCUCCAUGUCCUCCACCACCACCGCCGCUAGCAGACCGGAGCCGCUAGGGGCGGACAGGCUGAGCACUGCUCCGUCCUCCUCUUAGCUCCAUGUCCUCCACCGCCGCCGCUAGCAGACCGGAGCCGCUAGGGGCGGACAGGCUGAGCACUGCUCCGUCCUCCUCUCAGCUCCAUGUCCUCCACCGCCGCUAGCAGACCGGAGCCGCCAGGGGCGGACAGGCUGAGCACUGCUCCAUCCUCCUCUCAGCUCCAUGUCCUCCACCGCCGCUAGCAGACCGGAGCCGCUAGGGGCGGACAGGCUGAGCACUGCUCCGUCCUCCUCUUAGCUCCAUGUCCUCCACCACCGCUAGCAGACCGGAGCCGCUAGGGGCGGACAGGCUGAGCACUGCUCCGUCCUCCUCUUAGCUCCAUGUCCUCCACCGCCGCUAGCAGACCGGAGCCGCUAGGGGCGGACAGGCUGAGCACUGCUCCGUCCUCCUCUCAGCUCCAUGUCCUCCACCGCCGCUAGCAGACCGGAGCCGCUAGGGGCGGACAGGCUGAGCACUGCUCCGUCCUCCUCUCAGCUCCAUGUCCUCCACCGCCGCUAGCAGACCGGAGCCGCUAGGGGCGGACAGGCUGAGCACUGCUCCGUCCUCCUCUCAGCUCCAUGUCCUCCACCGCCGCUAGCAGACCGGAGCCGCUAGGGGCGGACAGGCUGAGCACUGCUCCAUCCUUCUCUUAGCUCCAUGUCCUCCACCACCGCCGCUAGCAGACCGGAGCCGCUAGGGGCGGACAGGCUGAGCACUGCUCCGUCCUUCUCUUAGCUCCAUGUCCUCCACUGCCGCUAGCAGACCGGAGCCGCUAGGGGCGGACAGGCUGAGCACUGCUCCGUCCUCCUCUCAGCUCCAUGACCUCCGCCGCCACCGCCGCUAGCAGACCGGAGCCGCUAGGGGCGGACAGGCUGAGCACUGCUCCGUCCUCCUCUCAGCUCCAUGUCCUCCACUGAUUGUGCUGUCAUCCAAAGGUCCAAAAUGGUACCCCAAAAAAAUCAAUGAAACACUUGGUUUGUAAUCAUUGGUUGUUGAAAGUGAAAGAUGGAUUUCUUCCGUGUUUACAAGUAAAGACAGGCGUUUAGUUUGAUUUUUUUGGUUUUCAAGUAGGCCUUUAUAAAUUAUACACAUGGCAAGUGGAAGUCGAGCAACUUGUUUUAAAGUUGAUUCAUACUUUUUUUUUGUUAGGUUUUUGAACUUUAAACAUUUUUUUACUCGUCAAACAUCUAAUUAUCAUGCAAUUGCUCAUACGGCAUUAUCCUUAUCAUUAUCGGCAUUAUCCCGACCAACAAUAACAGCAUAUGACUGCACUGAAUUCAUCAAAGAAAGCAUGUAUUUUCAAUCUUUGUCAGUUCCAUUCCCAUUCCCUGUCAUCGUCAUUCAGUAAAUUCAAAUAAAAGCUAUACAUUUUGAUCGACUAUAUGGGCAGUGACUUGAGUGUUGCUGUUUAUUCCUGUGCCCAUCAGACUCCAUCCCACCUCUCUCUCAUAUUCCGUCGACGAAGAGAACACAGUCUAUCUCUUGUUUAACAGUUCUACCGAUAACUAUAACCCUAACCCUCAACCAAUCAGAACCCAUUAUGAAGGGCUCAUAGGCCCUAUGGUUCAUUUUAGCCCUGUUAAGCUCGGAGCAACUUUGAAAAUACUUUGUAUUUUUGUUUGUUUUUAGCUAAAAAGUCGAACGUUUUUUGUAAAUCUAACAACAUUGUGUGAUUGUUACAUCAAAUCAUGGUGUCACAAGGGUGCAGCUGAUAGAGCUGUUUAUAGCGACCCCUGGAGUCCUGCCACGAUAGGUCUUCACUGGAGCUUGAUGUAGAGUUAGAAGCCGAACAAUGUCAUAUGAGUUUUAAGUCAACUAUAACCUCCGGCCUAUUUGUAGUGUCUCGACGAUGCAGCGGUGAGUGUUCUUGGAUGGCAGCGCUCGAGACCGGGGUUCAAGUCCUGGCACCAAGGGUGUAGUGGUGAAAUAAGAGGUGGGUAAACUAUGAAUACUUAGAUCAGUGAUUCGCAACCAAGGGUAGUGCAUUUACUGGAUUGGGAGGUAGCUAAACUCUGAAGUGAGAAGUGGAUAAACUCUGUUUCUGAAAUUCUGAGGUGGGUAAACUGCGUUUACUUGCGUUUAGCCUCAACUACAGCCCUGAUGACGACCAAUAAAAAACGACAGUGUUACCCCUUAUGUUUUUUUUGAUGACGGCCGAUAAAAAACGACAGCGUUACCCCUUAUGUUUUUUUUUAUAAAAACCGACAGUGUUACCCCUUAUGUUUUUUUUGAUGACGGCCGAUAAAAAACGACAGUGUUACCCUUUAUGCUUUUUUUGAUGACGGCCGAUAAAAAACGACAGUGUUACCCAUUCUGUUUUUUUGGAUAAAAAACAACAGUGUUACCCCUUAUGUUUUUUUUGAUGACGGCCGAUAAAAAAAGACAGUGUUACCCCUUAGGUUUUUUUUGAUGACAGCCGAUAAAAAACGACAGUGUUACCCCUUAUGUUUUUUUUGAUGACAGCCGAUAAAAAACGACAGUGUUACCCCUUAUGUUUUUUUUGAUGACGGCCGAUAAAAAACGACAGUGUUACCCCUUAUGUUUUUUUUGAUGACGGCCGAUAAAAAACGACAGUGUUACCCCUUAUGUUUUUUUUGAUAAAAAACGACAGUGUUACCCCUUAUGUUUUUUUUGAUGACGGCCGAUAAAAAACGACAGCGUUACCCCUUAUGUUUUUUUUUGAUAAAAAACGACAGUGUUACCCCUUAUGUUUUUUUUGAUGACGGCCGAUGAAAAACGACAGUGUUACCCCUUAUGAUUUUUUUGAUGACGGCCGAUAAAAAACGACAGUGUUACCCCUUAUGUUUUUUUUGAUGACGGCCGAUAAAAAACGACAGUGUUACACAUUAUGUUUUUUUUGAUAAAAACCGACAGUGUUACCCCUUAUGUUUUUUUGGAUGACGGCCGAUAAAAAACGACAGUGUUACCCUUUAUGCUUUUUUUGAGGACGGCCGAUAAAAAAUGACAGUGUUACCCCUUAUGUUUUUUUUGAUGACGGCCGAAAAAAAAACGACAGUGUUACCCCUUAUGUUUUUUUUGAUGACGCCCGAUAAAAAAAGACAGUGUUACCCCUUAUGUUUUUUUUGAUGACGGCCGAUAAAAAACAACAGUGUUACCCCUUACGUUUUAUUUGAUGACUUGGAAUAAAAAACAACAGUGUUAUCCCUUAUCUUUUUUUGAUGACGGCCGAUAAAAAACGACAGUGUUACCCCUUAUGUUUUUUUUGAUGACGGCCGAUAAAAAACAACAGUGUUACCCCUUACGUUUUAUUUGAUGACUUGGAAUAAAAAACAACAGUGUUAUCCCUUAUCUUUUUUUGAUGACGGCCGAUAA